CCCCGAAAUAGCUUUAGGGCUAGCCUCAAGGUGAGAGAUACGGAGGUAGAGCACUGAAUGUCCUAGGGGGUAUUGCACCUACCGAAGACUAUCAAACUCCGAAUGCCGUCAUCUUAUACUUGGGAGUCAGACUGUGGGUGAUAAGAUUCAUAGUCGAAAGGGCAACAGCCCAGAUCGUCAGCUAAGGUCCCUAAAUGUAAGUUAAGUGGUAAAGGAUGUGGGAUUGCACAGACAACCAGGAUGUUGGCUUAGAAGCAGCCACUCAUUCAAAGAGUGCGUAAUAGCUCACUGGUCGAGUGAUCCUGCGCCGAAGAUUUCCGGGGCUAAAACUUACUACCGAAGCUACGGCAUCAGUAAUGAUGGGUAGGGGAGCUUCCCAUACGGGUUGAAGCAGGACCGUAAGGACAUGUGGACAGUAUGGGAGUGAGAAUGUUGGCAUGAGUAGCGAGAUGUGGGUG
rnacentral:rRNA from 1 species